rnacentral:rRNA from 1 species
GAUGAACGCUGGCGGCGUGCCUAAUACAUGCAAGUCGAGCGAACAGACGAGGAGCUUGCUCCUCUGACGUUAGCGGCGGACGGGUGAGUAACACGUGGAUAACCUACCUAUAAGACUGGGUUAACUUCGGGAAACCGGAGCUAAUACCGGAUAAUAUAUUGAACCGCAUGGUUCAAUAGUGAAAGACGGUUUUGCUGUCACUUAUAGAUGGAUCCGCGCCGCAUUAGCUAGUUGGUAAGGUAACGGCUUACCAAGGCAACGAUGCGUAGCCGACCUGAGAGGGUGUGCGGCCACACUGGAACUGAGACACGGUCCAGACUCCUACGGGAGGCAGCAGUAGGGAAUCUUCCGCAAUGGGCGAAAGCUUGACGGAGCAACGCCGCGUGAGUGAUGAAGGUCUUCGGAUCGUAAAACUCUGUUAUUAGGGAAGAACAAAUGUGUAAGUAACUAUGCACGUCUUGACGGUACCUAAUCAGAAAGCCACGGCUAACUACGUG